GAGAGCUUGAUGAGAAAAUGAAGUGCACUGACGGUCGGCGGUGCGGAGCCAGAUAGGCUUAUAAGAGUGCGCGCGGAAAGGUGGAGUCUGUGUCUCUCUUUCCCACCGGCCCCCGGAGAAGGACUAG
ensembl:ncRNA F25G6.14 ncRNA